AGGUCAUUUCAAAGAGUGUUCAGGGGACCCAAACUAGGAGCUCUUAAUGCAGUGACCUAAGAUUUAAGUUCUCCAUAGGAUGUAACAGAUACUCAAUAGUGCUGUGUUUUCCUGAGGAAAUAGAAGA